rnacentral:rRNA from 1 species
AUGAAUUGCCACAGCUGGAACUGCCGUGGGCUUGGGAACCCAGCGGCAGUUCGUGAGCUUUGCAGUUUAGUGAAGCAAGAAGGGCCAUGUCUUCUGUUUGUGAUGGAGACAAAGAUUGCGACAAAGAGGGUGGAAAGCCUAAAGAAUCAACUUGGUUUUGUAGGUUGUUUUGCAGUGGACAGUGCUGGGCUGAGUGGAGGCAUUGUUCUGUUUUGGUUAGCUGAAGUUCAUGUUGAUCUUCAGAAUUAUAGUUCUGCCGCAUUGAUGUAA